rnacentral:rRNA from 1 species
UGUGAACUCGAAGAGUAGGGCGGGACACGUGGUAUCCUGUCUGAAUAUGGGGGGACCAUCCUCCAAGGCUAAAUACUCCUGACUGACCGAUAGUGAACCAGUACCGUGAGGGAAAGGCGAAAAGAACCCCGGCGAGGGGAGUGAAAAAGAACCUGAAACCGUGUACGUACAAGCAGUGGGAGCACCUUCGGGUGUGACUGCGUACCUUUUGUAUAAUGGGUCAGCGACUUAUAUUCUGUAGCAAGGUUAACCGUAUAGGGGAGCCGCAGGGAAACCGAGUCUUAACUGGGCGUUAAGUUGCAGGGUAUAGACCCGAAACCCGGUGAUCUAGCCAUGGGCAGGUUGAAGGUUGGGUAACACUAACUGGAGGACCGAACCGACUAAUGUUGAAAAAUUAGCGGAUGACUUGUGGCUGGGGGUGAAAGGCCAAUCAAACCGGGAGAUAGCUGGUUCUCCCCGAAAGCUAUUUAGGUAGCGCCUCGUGAACUCAUCUUCGGGGGUAGAGCACUGUUUCGGCUAGGGGGUCAUCCCGACUUACCAACCCGAUGCAAACUACGAAUACCGAAGAAUGUUAUCACGGGAGACACACGGCGGGUGCUAACGUCCGUCGUGAAGAGGGAAACAACCCAGACCGCCAGCUAAGGUCCCAAAGUCAUGGUUAAGUGGGAAACGAUGUGGGAAGGCACAGACAGCCAGGAUGUUGGCUUAGAAGCAGCCAUCAUUUAAAGAAAGCGUAAUAGCUCACUGGUCGAGUCGGCCUGCGCGGAAGAUGUAACGGGGCUAAACCAUGCACCGAAGCUGCGGCAGCGACACUAUGUGUUGUUGGGUAGGGGAGCGUUCUGUAAGCCUGCGAAGGUGUGCUGUGAGGCAUGCUGGAGGUAUCAGAAGUGCGAAUGCUGACAUAAGUAACGAUAAAGCGGGUGAAAAGCCCGCUCGCCGGAAGACCAAGGGUUCCUGUCCAACGUUAAUCGGGGCAGGGUGAGUCGACCCCUAAGGCGAGGCCGAAAGGCGUAGUCGAUGGGAAACAGGUUAAUAUUCCUGUACUUGGUGUUACUGCGAAGGGGGGACGGAGAAGGCUAUGUUAGCCGGGCGACGGUUGUCCCGGUUUAAGCAUGUAGGCUGGUUAUCCAGGCAAAUCCGGAUAAUCAAGGCUGAGGUGUGAUGACGAGGCACUACGGUGCUGAAGUAACAAAUGCCCUGCUUCCAGGAAAAGCCUCUAAGCAUNNNNNNNNNNNNNNNNNNNNNNNNNNNNNNNNNNNNNNNNNNNNNNNNNNNNNNNNNNNNNNNNNNNNNNNNNNNNNNNNNNNNNNNNNNNNNNNNNNUCAAGGCUGAGGUGUGAUGACGAGGCACUACGGUGCUGAAGUAACAAAUGCCCUGCUUCCAGGAAAAGCCUCUAAGCAUCAGGUAACAUCAAAUCGUACCCCAAACCGACACAGGUGGUCAGGUAGAGAAUACCAAGGCGCUUGAGAGAACUCGGGUGAAGGAACUAGGCAAAAUGGUGCCGUAACUUCGGGAGAAGGCACGCUGGUGUGUAGGUGAAGUCCCUGCGGAUGGAGCUGAGACCAGUCGAAGAUACCAGCUGGCUGCAACUGUUUAUUAAAAACACAGCACUGUGCAAACACGAAAGUGGACGUAUACGGUGUGACGCCUGCCCGGUGCCGGAAGGUUAAUUGAUGGGGUUAUCCGUAAGGAGAAGCUCUUGAUCGAAGCCCCGGUAAACGGCGGCCGUAACUAUAACGGUCCUAAGGUAGCGAAAUUCCUUGUCGGGUAAGUUCCGACCUGCACGAAUGGCGUAAUGAUGGCCAGGCUGUCUCCACCCGAGACUCAGUGAAAUUGAACUCGCUGUGAAGAUGCAGUGUACCCGCGGCAAGACGGAAAGACCCCGUGAACCUUUACUAUAGCUUGACACUGAACAUUGAGCCUUGAUGUGUAGGAUAGGUGGGAGGCUUUGAAGCGUGGACGCCAGUCUGCGUGGAGCCAACCUUGAAAUACCACCCUUUAAUGUUUGAUGUUCUAACGUUGGCCCCUGACCGGGGUUGCGGACAGUGUCUGGUGGGUAGUUUGACUGGGGCGGUCUCCUCCCAAAGCGUAACGGAGGAGCACGAAGGUUAGCUAAUCCUGGUCGGACAUCAGGAGGUUAGUGCAAUGGCAUAAGCUAGCUUGACUGCGAGCGUGACGGCGCGAGCAGGUGCGAAAGCAGGUCAUAGUGAUCCGGUGGUUCUGAAUGGAAGGGCCAUCGCUCAACGGAUAAAAGGUACUCCGGGGAUAACAGGCUGAUACCGCCCAAGAGUUCAUAUCGACGGCGGUGUUUGGCACCUCGAUGUCGGCUCAUCACAUCCUGGGGCUGAAGUAGGUCCCAAGGGUAUGGCUGUUCGCCAUUUAAAGUGGUACGCGAGCUGGGUUUAGAACGUCGUGAGACAGUUCGGUCCCUAUCUGCCGUGGGCGCUGGAGAAUUGAGGGGGGCUGCUCCUAGUACGAGAGGACCGGAGUGGACGCAUCACUGGUGUUCGGGUUGUCAUGCCAAUGGCACUGCCCGGUAGCUAAAUGCGGAAGAGAUAAGUGCUGAAAGCAUCUAAGCACGAAACUUGCCCCGAGAUGAGUUCUCCCUGAGACU